rfam:Triticum aestivum genome assembly, contig: Triticum_aestivum_CS42_TGACv1_scaffold_225584_3B
AUUGUACUCCCUCCGUCCGAAAAUACUUGUCUGAGGAAUGGACAUACCUAGACAUAUUUUAGUGUUAGAUACAUCCAUUUUUAGUCAUUUCUGCGGCAAGUGUUUCCGGACGGAGAGAGUAACAG